GGAAAUUGUCUCGAGCCCCAGUGGAUGGCACAGGCAGGAGACCCCUGCACACGGGAGCAUCCUUCCUGGAGGGCGGAGGGGAUGGACUUUCCGCCCACCUGAGGGCCCUGGGCAGGGGCUCCAUGAGCCCAGGCUUGAGGGGAAGGAUGCCCAGGUUCUUCCCCAACCUCCAACAUGACUCCUCCCUCCCCCAGGAGUCAGCAUCAACCGACAGAGUUCAAGGCCUGGAACUUCUCUCUAAGGUUUCUCACUCUGCCCUGCUGGCUCGGGUCUGCCGGGUCCCUGGAACCCUCUUCCUUCGGCUGGCACUCUGCAGACUGCUGGAAGUCCUUAACCUGCCCCAGCAGGGCCACCGGUGGGCCACAGGGCCGGCCGCCCCCUGCUCGGCGUACCUCAUCGCGGGAGGCAUACUUGGAGCAGAGCUCACGGACGUCGGGCCAGCUGAAGGUCUCUGUGGGGCUGAGGGGGCUCCGGGCGGAGGGCCGGCCCCCAGGCGAGGUGGUCCUCUGGCCGACAGCAGACGGGUUGAAGAAGAAACGCUGUGGUGACAUCUCCCCAGCCGAGGAGGGCUUGGGAGGGCUGUGCUCCUGGGCCAUCAGCUGCUCAUAGUCGAAUAGAGACAGCACCGGCUUCCUCUUACCUGUGAGGAGAGAGCAAGCUGCCUGAAGCAUGGGGCGGGAGGGCAGAGCUGCAAGGGGGUGCUCUGAGCAGGCCCCAACUCACUUUCCAGGCAAGGCUGGUUGUUGGGGUUUUGGGUGUGAUGGGAGAAAUCUCACUUACCAUCCACAGCCUCUUUCAUGAAGGGCCAUAGGAAGAAUGAAGAAAAGGCAGUGGAAAGGGGUCAGGAGUCAAAGGAAGAGGGGGAGCUUCUGCUCCCAUCCUGCUAAAGGAGGGGCCUGGGGCCAUGCUUCCUCCAGAAGCCUCUGCUG
rnacentral:lncRNA from 1 species